UAUACUGCAGUCGACGAGUUCUCGUUGAUGAUCGGCGCUGGCACCAAGAUUCUGAGGGAAGGAGGGGCGGACGGGUGAGUAAUGGGGGAAAACCUGCCCUUAAGUGGGGGAUAAAUUUGAAAUCAGAUGUUAUUACCGCAUACAUCCUAUAACCGCAUGGCUCUUGGCUGAAAGAUGGCGUAAGCUAUCGCUUUUGGAUGGACCCGCGGAGUAUUAGCUAGUUGGUGAGGUAAUGGCUCACCAAGGCGAUGAUACGUUGCCGAACUGAGAGGUUGAUCGACCACAUUGGGACUGAGACACGGACCAAACUCCUACGGUACGCAGCAGGAGGGAAUCUUCCACUAUGGACCAAAGUCUGAUGGACCAACGCCGCAUGAGUGAAAAAGGUUUUCGGGUCUUAACUCUCUGUUGUUGGAAAAAAAUGGUCGACAGAGUAUGUGUUGGCGUGUGUGACGGUAUCCCCCCAAAAACCCACGGAUAUCUACGUGCCAACACCCGCGGUAAUACGUAGGUGGAAAGCGGUAUCCGGAUUUAUUGGGUAUAAAGCGAGCGCAGGCGUGUUUUUUAAGUCUGAUGUGAAAGUCCUCGUCUUACCGAUGAAGCGCAUCAGACUCUGGAGAAACUGAGUGCAGAAGAGGACAGUGGAACUCCAUGUGUAGCGGUGAAAUGCGUAGAUAUAUGGAAGAACACCAGUGGCGAAGACGGCUGUCUGGUCUGUAACUGCUGGUCUGUAACUGACGCUGAGGCUCGAAAGCAUGGGUAGCGAA
rnacentral:rRNA from 1 species